GCCAAACCCUAAUUGUGUGUGCGUGUGUCUGCAUUUUUUCCCCUGACAUGAAGAAGAAGAAAACCAAGUUACCAUGUGGCGCUGUUGGAUGCCCUUCCUCUUGGCCUGGGUGUCCAUGGCAACCCCAAUACUCUGCCAAAGUGGAGAUUGGGGUUCAGGCUUUGACAUCUCCUCGGCUGUAAUGGCCACCAAUGACACAUCUCAGGCAGUUGGUGAUGAGCCUGUGAGGAUAAGAAACAAUCAGGACUGGAUCACAUCAUCAGCUUUCUCACCAUCACCCUCACCCUCACCAACGCUGCAGUAUGAGCCUCAACCGGACAAGUGCUCGGUCCACUUCAGCACCAACGCUGCUACGGCUCGAAGGCUGAAGGCCCAGAAAGAGGAGAUAUCCUAUCUGCAGGCCAUCCAGCAUGGGAACAAGGCAGUGAUGGAGAACUUGGUGGAGUUUGUGGGGGCAGAGGUGGGGGAUCAGAGCUAUGAAGAUGUGAUUAAGGAAAAUGUAAUUGGCAUCCAAGAGGACCACAAGAGUUGCCACGAGGUGGUAGAGAAAGCUGAAGAUGAUAUGGAAAAGCAGCUGGAGGGGGAAGUGUUGGGCGCUGGGAUGCAGAAAAUCAGGGACGAGUCCUUGGCCUUGGAAGACAUGGUCCGUGCUGCAGUGGACAUCGCCAACAGGCUGGACAUCUCCUCACAGGCCCUGCAUGCUUCAUUCACCAAGCAGCUGAAAGACAUUGCCAAAAUUCAUCGCUAAGAACGCGGUGAAAAGAAUUGCUGUGUGUAUGUCAUCCCUCCAACUCGGUGAUGAUGUUUUGGUAACCUUUGUGAGACCCAACAUAAGGGAAGAAAUUGGUGUUCUAUAUUUUAAAUGAAUUUAACUGUAUGAGGAAUCAACAUGGUUUAAAAGAUGACAUAAGUUGAGGGAACACAGCAAAAAACAAUUGUUGAGUAAAAAAAAAACAAGUUUCCUUUUCACUGAAGUCAAAUCCUAUAACCCAUAAAAUAGUAUUUUUCCAUCCAGCCAUUAUUUGUGGAAUUGCGUAAGGUCGAAUGUGGUAACAGUAUGUGGUGCAGGUUUAAGCCAAGUUGAGUGUUUAUGGAUCAAACUAGAUUGGCCAUCAGAGACCAAACAUAAUGGCUCGGCUGGUCUUCUCCAGAAGAAGCUAUAGAUCGGCCAUCUGGUUCCAGGGUGAGGACGGAGGGCAGGAUACGUUUAGGAUGACUAGUGUGUUCCAAUGGACAUAAAAAUAAAAAAUAAAAAUAAAAAGGACAAGACUGCAACCGGGACCGCAUUGUUAUAAAGUAUUGUCAUCUGUUGUUGUCAUCUGUUGCCGAAAACAAUGCAAUAACCUACGGAUGAGGGACGAGAUAUUGUUUAAACAAUUUGACAAUUCCUGAUUGUGAUUAGGAAGAAAUAAGCAGGAAACACACCAUAUAAAAACGCAAUAAAGCUCUUUAAAAGUAGCACCACUGAAUCUGAACAUUGUUUUAAAAAGGAAUACCUGUGAGCUUUCACAUAAAAUGUAAACCUUAGGAUCAGAAAAACCUCUGUGGGUGUCUCAGCUGGAUUCACCCGUUCAAAUGUGAGAAACACACUUUUGUUGUGUAUCCAGCUCUAUUGUGCUAUUCUCUCUCUAACCCUGCCAGGACUUGUGAGAGAGAAUGCUUUCAAUCAUGUUUGAAAUCAUUUUUUUUUUAAAGUGCAAUAUAUGUGUGUACAAUGUAUGAGAGAAACAUGCUUUAUCCAGUAAACAGCAACAAACAAUAAAUCAGCCUGU
rnacentral:lncRNA from 1 species